rnacentral:rRNA from 1 species
CAUGCCGUAAACGUUGGGUGCUAGACGUGGGGGCCUUUCCACGGUUUCCGUGUCGUAGCUAACGCAUUAAGCACCCCGCCUGGGGAGUACGGCCGCAAGGCUAAAACUCAAAGGAAUUGACGGGGGCCCGCACAAGCGGCGGAGCAUGCGGAUUAAUUCGAUGCAACGCGAAGAACCUUACCUGGACUUGACAUACCCUGAAUAUCUUAGAGAUAAGAGAAGCCCUUCGGGGCAGGGAUACAGGUGG